UACGUACUGUGCGAACGUUAUUCGGAAUCACUGGGCUUAAAGGGUGCGUAGGCGGCCUGUUAAGUAGGGUGUGAAAUGCCAGAGCUCAACUUGGGCAUUGCGCUCUAGACUGGCUGGCUUGAGUGAGAUAGGGGUGUGCGGAACUUCCAGUGGAGCGGUGAAAUGUGUUGAUAUUGGAAGGAACGCCGGUGGCGAAAGCGGCACACUGGGUCUUAACUGACGCUGAGACGCGAAAGCGUGGGGAGCGAACAGG
rnacentral:rRNA from 1 species